rnacentral:rRNA from 1 species
GGGGGGGGGGGGGGGGGGGGGGGGGGGGGGCGGGGCGGAGGGAGGGGCGCCGUGGGGGGUGCGCGGGUGGCGAACGGGGGGGUAACGCGUGAGUAACCUGCCCUUGCCUUCGGGAUAGCUUCAGGGACCUGGGGCUAAUGCCGGAUAGUGAUCCUUGCUGCAUGGUGGGGGUUGGACAGCUUCGGCGGUUUUGGAUGGACUCGCGGCUUGUCCGCUUGUUGGUGGGGUAGUGGCUUACCAAGGCGUUGACGGGUCGCCGGCCUGAGAGGGCGACCGGCCACAUUGGGACUGAGAUACGGCCCAGACUCCGACGGGAGGCAGCAGUGGGGAAUAUUGCACAAUGGGCGGAAGCCUGAUGCAGCAACGCCGCGGGCGGGAUGACGGCCUUCGGGUUGUAAACCGCUUUCAGCAGGGGCGAAGCUUGUGGUGACGGUACCUGCAGAAGAAGCACCGGCUAACUACGUG